rnacentral:rRNA from 1 species
CGAUAGCGCGGUGGUCCCACCUGACCCCAUGCCGAACUCAGAAGUGAAACGCCGUAGCGCCGAUGGUAGUGUGGGGUCUCCCCAUGUGAGAGUAGGGCAUUGCCAGGCA